ensembl:lncRNA
GCCUAUAUAGCUACAGUACUUACUAGGUUACCAUAAGAAUGAGGCCUAUAUAGCUACAGUACUUACUAGGUUACCAUAAGAAUGAGGCCUAUAUAGCUACAGUACUUACUAGGUUACCAUAAGAAUGAUGGAUAAUCCAUUAUCCUAGAUUUUGCUGUACCACUGGGCUAAUGUAAAACUGCAUAGGACUACAUACAACUAGAUUACUUGUAGAGGUCAGGUGGACUUCAUCCAAAGAGCCAACGGUGUCUUUCUGACUGCAUAGUGAAACCGAAUCCGUCUGCCCAGCUACUAAAAGCUGAAAAGGGAUGAGGUCCUUGGUGCUGAAUCCUGCUGACUGCAGGGGGUUUGGUAUGAACUCUCAGGGGUGAGUCUAGGACUGUCCUGCAGUGACGGUGUCAUAUGUCAGUCAUGGAUUUAUUGAUCCGAAGAGAGCUCGGAAAGUACAGUUAGACUCCAGAGGACGUAAUGGAGACCUUUAUGAGGCAAAUUAGCAUCAAAACAUUUUGUGAAUUAUUAGCAUUUAGUGCUGUAGUUUGCGGUUGUAGGUAGAUCAUAUUGUGGGUUUGGUGAUACAAAGGGGUAUUGGUAGGAAAAUGUUCCUCCUUGGUCCUUCUUUAUAAAGAGAGAGCCUGUAGACCGCUUUAUGUAUAAAGUGAAGCUUUGUGUUCACCAUGAAACACUUUUUCUGUUUGGAUAUUGUGUGAUUUUUAUAUUGACGACUGGUCUUCAUCUUACCACCCCAAGCAGUUAGAUCAUGAACAAGAUGCACUAUUCGGUUUUUAUACAACUACAGAUUCCAGAUUCAGCAUAGGGACUGUGAGAUUGGUGUCGUGCAGUUCUUAAGUGUUUCUCCCAAAGACUGAAAUGGUUCUGCUGCUGGCGUUAAUGAGAACGGCAUAAAGGAAAGCAAGUUUUGAACAGGCAACAGUGAACUGUUUGUGAAUGGAUGCCAGCGGCAGCAGAAUAGGACUCUGUCACAGAGUGAGGCCUCUGUUUGCCUGAUAGUCUAUGCUCCCCUCCUUGCUCUUUCUCACUCUCUCUCUCUCUGUCCCCUCAUCCUUUGAUGUGCAUCAAGCAAGCUUAUAUGUGAGAAUUUUCUAGACAAGUGCACUGGAAUGCAUUUGUGAGUGUCUCGGGCAUCGUAAUGCUUUUCACUCUUUGUCAUGCUCGGUUUAGAAAUAUUGCCUAAACACAGAGAGAUCUUGAUUAUAAAUCAUCACAUUUAUUUCAGAGCAUGCACUGUCAGAGGUAAGAGGGAACUGGUGCAUAUGCUGCUAGUCAUGUUUCUUUUAGCGACUGGGUCAAUGAAUUUGCAUUUCAGGUGGUUUUAAUUGGCAGAUUAGCAUAUAUGCAAAAUAGGAUGUUAUGCUAUUUUAAUCAGGCAUGAGAGGAAUGUUGCUCCUGACGCUGAUGCUGUGAAAUUUUUCAGAUGAAACACUGAUGAUAUUCUGUCUCAGAGCGGAAGCGGGUGGAUGAAGACUGUGUGCUGUGUAUAUGUAGUUAUUUUGUACUGAGUCAAAGCUUUAAGGGCUAACGCAUUUAAAUCAGGCCCAAGGGCUUAAAGGACCCUAAUGCUGGACACUCCCUUCAUUUUGGAUAAUUAUCUUGAAUAAACAUGACUGUUAACCUAGAAAGUAACAGUAAUUUGGAGCCAGAUUCACGGUCAUUUGACGCAAAAGGCUGAAAAUACUUUUAGACAGGAAAGGAGCAUUCUUAUUAGAUAGGUUUUGUUCCUAGCCCAUCAUUGAAAAUACGAAUUUGUUCUUAACUGACUUGCCUAGUUAAAUAAAGGUUAAAAAAAAAGAAAGUAGUAAACCAACCUACCUCCGUUUCCAUACUGUUUUCCCGGUUGGCUCUACUGAACGCAACCCAUGCAGUCUUAAUGAGCAGCUUAGUUCGUUAUUUUAGACCUUAAAGUUAUCAUUCAUUACCCUGACUUUAGUCCAUGGACCAGGAUAAACUGUAAUCCAGUAACCAAUAGCAAGAGUGCAAUUCUUCAUCUUGGUCUUCAGACCAAUUUCUUGUAUUUUUUUAGGAAGUGAGCUUUAUGCAACGUCUUUUUGAGUGUGGACACAUCGCACCUUUUUGCUGGUAUUCAGACUUAAAAAUGGAGGAUUUUCACUUAUUGUGAGCCACCACCAAAUGACUACCCUUAAUGAUACAAAGGGAGUUUCCUCAAUAUUGCAAUAAAUCUAGUCUCCAUCAAAUGUAUUUAUAAAGCCCUUCUUACAUCGGCUGAUAUCUCAAAGUGCUGUACAGAAACCCAGCCUAAAACCCCAAACAGCAAGCAAUGCAGAUGUAGAAGCAAGCAGAAGUCUCCAUCAAGUUAUGGUGAGCAUUGUGACACAAAAUAGCCAGCCUGGGGGAAGUAAAUUACCGCAAGGAGUUGCCCCAUUUCAAUAUUGCAAUAAAUAACAACUUUAUACUCCAUUAUAAACUGG